rnacentral:rRNA from 1 species
UACGUAGGGUGCAAGCGUUAAUCGGAAUUACUGGGCGUAAAGCGCACGCAGGCGGUUGGUUAAGUCAGAUGUGAAAGCCCCGGGCUCAACCUGGGAAUUGCAUUUGAAACUGGCCAACUAGAGUACGUGAGAGGGGGGUAGAAUUCCAAGUGUUGCGGUGAAAUGCGUAGAGAUUUGGAGGAAUACCAGUGGCGAAGGCGGCCCCCUGGCACGAUACUGACGCUCAGGUGCGAAAGCGUGGGGAGCAAACAGG